UACGAAGGGGGCAAGCGUUGUUCGGAAUUACUGGGCGUAAAGGGUGUGUAGGCGGUCCUGUAAGAUAGCGGUGAAAUACCUGGGCUCAACCUGGGAAUUGCCGUUAUAACUAUGGGGCUAGAGUGGUGCAGAGGAUGCUGGAAUACCCAGUGUAGAGGUGAAAUUCGUAGAUAUUGGGUAGAACACCGGUGGCGAAGGCGAGCAUCUGGGCACAAACUGACGCUGAGGCACGAAAGCAUGGGGAUCAAAC
rnacentral:rRNA from 1 species